rnacentral:rRNA from 1 species
UACGUAGGGUGCUAGCGUUAUUCGGAUUUACUGGGCGUAAAGGGUGCGCAGGCGGUUUUUCAAGUCGGAGGUUAAAGGCUACGGCUCAACCGUAAUAAGCCGCCGAAACUGGAAGACUUGAGUGCAGGAGAGGAAAGUGGAAUUCUCAGUGUAGCGGUGAAAUGCGUAGAUAUUGAGAAGAACACCAGUGGCGAAGGCGGCUUUCUGGACUGUGACUGACACUGAGGCACGAAAGCGUGGGUAGCAAACAGG